CGCUCUAAAGCACACGCAGCCUCUCGCGCUUUUCUUUUCCGCUUUCUUCGCUCCCCCCUGUCUCAAAUGCUGAAUGAACUCAAAGCGCGGAAGCCCCUCUCAUGGACUCCGUGACAAUAAAACCAAUUCUUACUUCUUUCAACUUCAAUCUCUCGUAUCCACAAACCAAGCCUCUCUACUCCACCAGCUUCUCUUACUUUAGGCUCACCCGCGGCAGAAAAUUCAGUACUUCCUCUGUCUCUUUUUGUCACAGGAGUGGUUCAAAUCCCACAAACCAGAACUCGAAGUUCAGUAAUCAAGCUUUUUCUCCAAAUCCCGUCUGGGUUUUUGUCCCAAUCUUUCAAAGCAUCAAAAGAUUAGCCUCCUCGCAAACCCAGAAAUGGGCUUCGGGUGUUCAAGCCUACAAUGAUUCGGAGAAGAUUAUGGAUGGAUUUGAUGGCGUUUAUUUGCAAAAUGGAGGGAUUGGAGUAGCUUUAUUGAGUGUAACGUCGAAUGCGAAGGUUCGGAUUAGUCCGUUCGUGGCCACAUUAGCUGCGAACCCGACGUUUGUCUCGGGUUUGUUCGCGUGGCUCAUCGCGCAGUCGAUGAAGAUGUUCUUGAAUUUCUUAUUCGAGAGGAAAUGGGAUUUGAGAUUGCUGUUUGCUUCUGGAGGAAUGCCCUCGUCGCACUCAGCUUUGUGCACGGCUUUGACGACUUCGGUGGCGCUUUGUCAUGGGGUGGCGGACUCGCUGUUUCCGGUUUGUUUGGGGUUUAGUCUAAUUGUUAUGUACGACGCAAUCGGAGUUAGGCGGCAUGCUGGGAUGCAAGCCGAGUGCUCAAUAUGACUUUUGAGGAUCCACUCAUUAUCUGGAGAGCUCAGUGAUUUGAGUCAGUUGGCAACUUAAUUUAUUAAAUCCAGUGCAAGUUGGUAAGGGCAAUGAGUAGCAGGAGGGAAAAUAAAUUGUGAAGUUUAGCAUGCUCCUCUCCUUGCAAGGACUGGAAACUUUUGAACUAGCGGAUCGACAAUGGAGUAAUAAGUUUUGGUGGCCACCAUCCUUCUGCCCUUCCUCUUGGUUCUUGAAAGUGUCCUGUCAAGUUGGCUUGAUGAUGAGAAACUUUAACCUUAAGUGUGUAUCAAAGUUGUGGAUCUUUCUACUAGUAUUCUACUAAUGAGUUAGAGAUCUUUGGGUUAAGCCUUGUCUUGAGGCUUCUGCUAAUGCAUUCUACAGGUUCAAACCCCCUUGCUUAGGCUGGCAGUUCACUUGCUUGGAAAUAGAUCUCUUGCUGUUGCGUGAAUUAUUGUGACUGCUGCAAUGCAGGUUCUUAAUAUGAUCGUUGAGGACAUGUUUCAAGGACAUCCUAUCAGCAAAAGAAAGCUCAAGGAACUUCUUGGCCACACUCCAUCUCAGGGAACUACAUGAAUAGAGGCAGGUUUAAACAACACAAACCUGCUCAUAUUCUAACAUGAAGACCUUGUAGUCACUAUAUAUGGUAUUGCACUUGCUCUUGUCAAAUUCGAUUUGUGGGUCAAUAUUGAGACCUUUGGCCACUUGCUGUUGCUGCUGCUAUUAAUGUAGCCACCGCCUGAGUGCUUUUCAUCGUGGUGAAAAUUAUAUGUAUACGGGAUCUGUGUUAAUUAUUGCAGAUCCCAUCCAAAGUACCUAUGCCAUACUAUUAAUGCCUAAUACAUGAAUUCCAUUUUCUUUUUUC